UAACUUUAUAUCUGAAUUAUCAUAGCAUCAACAGGGCUGUGGGAUUGAAGCUAUCAUUAAUAUUACAUUAGAUCACACUACUAACAAACAUUUCCUUCCUGUUUCAAAGCUCCUGACUCUACUUAGAUGUUUUAGAAAACUCAUGUUCCUAGUCUACUUAGAUGAUGCCUUGAAUAGUUUUGGCUCAUUUGCAGAGCAGAGAUGACUGAUACCCCUAAAUCCCAACGAAUGAAGUCUUUCCCAGGUCCUAAUUACCACUACUUCUCACUUUUUCCUAAAAUUUUCUGAUCAUUCAUUGAUUCAUUCACUUAUUCACUCACUCACUCAAUGGGUACUUACUGAUCAUAUAACAGGUGCCAGGCAUGGUGUGGUAGAUUUAUUCUAUGAUAGUGAGCUAGGUAGAUGUGAAUCUUGGCUUCUGGAGCUUUCAUAGUAUACCCAAUGAAUAGGGAGAUGUUCAGGGAGAGUAUAACUGGAAGUUAAAAUAACCUGCAAGGUCAGAUUUCUGUAAAGAAGUAACAUUUAGCUGAGACAUGAAGUAACUGGAAGAAAAGGCUGAAAUGCCAUGAGAAUGAGAACCAGGAAUGCUGGAACGUUCAAACUGUAAUUACUACCAGCAUGUGAAAAAGCCCUGUGGUGGGAAGAAGCUCAGUGGGUUCUAGAUACUUGUCAGAGCAGAGAGGUUCAAAGAGUGACUAGAGAUGGUUCUGAGGCAUCAACAGGGCCAGAUCAACCCAGGUAUUGCAGGUAAUGUCAAAUAAGAAUUCUGAAGUCUAUCUUAAUAUCAAGAAAAAGCCAUUGAUGGGAGUGGCAUGGUCAGUGUUAUAUUUUUAAAUAUCACUCUGUCUACAUUGUGGAGAAAUGCAAAAGGAAAUGGAAAGGAAAUGCAAUUGUGCAUGUGGUUAUAAGAACACAGCAGUAACACAGGUGAAAAAUUGUGUGUGGAUGGGGAGAGUACAGCGAAGAUGAGGGUGGAGAGGGUUCAGAUGAGAGAAUUUUGCAGAACCUGGAGAUGUUUUGGACAUAGGUAAAUGGAGAAAGUAAGAAGGCCAGGUAGAUUCCUGGGUUCCUCUUGAAUAACUGAAUGAGUAAUGGGGCAAAAGUGGUACCAUUUGUGGGAUUAGGGUAGCCAAGAUCUGAGCAGGUUUGUGUGAGAAAUAGACAUCAAAUAGACAUCAAAGUGUAAGUGUCCAGUUUUACCAUAAAAAAGGCUUGUAGCUUAGAGGAGAGGUCAAGGCUGCAGAAAUAAAUUAACUAGCUAUCUAUCAUGGCUAUGUAAAUAAGCAAAAAAUAACAAUGAUGAUGGUAUUCCUCCAAAGCCCUUUGCUCAGGCAGAAAGAAAACUGGUAUGUCACAGGCAUGAAUCCUUACAUUGCAAUACUUGAUUCUCAACUCACCAGGCUGUAAACAUUAAAUAUGUACAUACUGGUUUUUGUAUGUUAUCAUACCUCAAUAAAGUAGUUUUUAAGAAUAUGAGGCAUAGAUGUCAGGCGCCGCACACGCCUGUAAUCUCAGUGGCUCUCGAGGCUGAGAAAGGAGGAUCGUGAGUUCAAAGCCAGUCUCAGCAAUGGUGAGGCACUAAGCAACUCAGUGAGACCCUGUCUCUAAAUAAAAUACAAAAUAGGGCUGGGGAUGUGGCUCCGUGGCCAAGAGCCCCUGAGUUCAAUCCCCAAUACCAAAAAAAAAAAAAUAUAUAUAUAUA
rnacentral:lncRNA from 1 species